AUACGUAGGGUGCAAGCGUUAUCCGGAAUUAUUGGGCGUAAAGGGCUCGUAGGCGGUUCGUCGCGUCCGGUGUGAAAGUCCAUCGCUUAACGGUGGAUCCGCGCCGGGUACGGGCGGGCUUGAGUGCGGUAGGGGAGACUGGAAUUCCCGGUGUAACGGUGGAAUGUGUAGAUAUCGGGAAGAACACCAAUGGCGAAGGCAGGUCUCUGGGCCGUUACUGACGCUGAGGAGCGAAAGCGUGGGGAGCGAACAGGAUUAGAUACCCUGGUAGUCCACGCCGUAAACGGUGGAUGCUGGAUGUGGGGCCCGUUCCACGGGUUCCGUGUCGGAGCUAACGCGUUAAGCAUCCCGCCUGGGGAGUACGGCCGCAAGGCUAAAACUCAAAGAAAUUGACGGGGGCCCGCACAAGCGGCGGAGCAUGCGGAUUAAUUCGAUGCAACGCGAAGAACCUUACCUGGGCUUGACAUGUUCCCGACGAUCCCAGAGAUGGGGUUUCCCUUCGGGGCGGGUUCACAGGUGGUGCAUGGUCGUCGUCAGCUCGUGUCGUGAGAUGUUGGGUUAAGUCCCGCAACGAGCGCAACCCUCGCCCCGUGUUGCCAGCGGAUUGUGCCGGGAACUCACGGGGGACCGCCGGGGUUAACUCGGAGGAAGGUGGGGAUGACGUCAGAUCAUCAUGCCCCUUACGUCCAGGGCUUCACGCAUGCUACAAUGGCCGGUACAACGGGAUGCGACAGCGCGAGCUGGAGCGGAUCCCUGAAAACCGGUCUCAGUUCGGAUCGCAGUCUGCAACUCGACUGCGUGAAGGCGGAGUCGCUAGUAAUCGCGAAUCAGCAACGUCGCGGUGAAUGCGUUCCCGGGCCUUGUACACACCGCCCGUCAAGUCAUGAAAGUGGGCAGCACCCGAAGCCGGUGGCCUAACCCCUUGCGGGAGGGAGCCGUCUAAGGUGAGGCUCGUGAUUGGGACU
rnacentral:rRNA from 1 species